CUAAGUGUUUCCUAGAUUCUUUGGCCCCAGGGCUAGUUGAAAUUUAGUUAGUUGAACAUGUCUGCUGUUUGACCUUGAGCAAGUCACUCUACUUCUCUGUGCCUCAGUUACCUCAUCUGUAAAUUGGCUAGUAAGACUAUGAGCCCCAUGCCAAAUUGUACUUUCCAAGCACUUAGUACAGUGCUCUGCAUGCAGUAAGCGCUCAAUAAACGCAAUUGAAUGAAUAUGGGACAUGGACUGUGUCCAACCUGAUUAGCUUGUAUUUACCCCAGCACUUAGUAUAGUGCCUAGCACACAGUAAGCGCUUACCAAAUACGAUAUUAAAGAAUAUCACCCCUUUGGAAAAAAAUAAAGUUCCCACAUCACACAUACACGUCUCCUCAAGGACUUUCUUAUUCCAAAACAGGAGAUGGGAAAAGAGCAGAACAUGAUGUAUCACUGACUGAAUCUAGAAACCUAGAACCUUGUUCUUAUGAGAUUGUUCUGAAGAUCAGUUUGACAGUAGGGAAAAAAAAAUGACUAGACACCUAAUCUAUGUACGUACAAAUGUCACGAAAAAUAUUAACUGAAAUAUUAUACAUAAAGUCUGCUAAUAGCCUUCUGCUUUGUUAAAAAGGCCAGAGGAAAACAAAGGAACAAGGAGUGUUAAGAUGACGUUGUCACUAGUUUUAUAUACGGUUAAUUACAUUAUGAUUCUUUCAUUGGGGCAGCCAGGGUAACAGAUGAAAUCUUAAGAACAGAGCUCUUCAAAGUAACACACUCUUUCACCCCUCCUGGGCUAGACUAAUUGCAACACAAACUCCCCUCUCCACCACAGCAACAGAAACCAGGCACAGGCAUCUUCCCAAAGGGCUCAGUAGCUACAGGAUUAUGGAUUUCCUUAACCACUCGCUGAUUUAGCUUGCUUUUAAAAUCCAGUAACUAACCACCCCAUGCAGGGCUGCACGAAAUAGAAUGGAGGGAAGAAGUAGAAGUAAUCUUUCUAAAACUGCUUCCUAAAGAUUUGGUCUU
rnacentral:lncRNA from 1 species